CUGUCAUCUACAGGUGCAACUGGAGUUUAUAUCGAUUUGGAUAUCCCUGAAACAAAUGAGCUUCAAAGGAGGUAUUGCUUGCAAGAUGAUAUGGUAGAGGAAAUAGAGCCGGAAGCCCACUUGCAAGGCACAAUUCAGGAACAGAUGCUCUAUAACAGAAGAACCCUAAAAGAAAUAA